rnacentral:rRNA from 1 species
GAUGAACGCUGGCGGCGUGCUUAACACAUGCAAGUCGAACGAAGCACUUUAUUUUAUUUCCUUCGGGACUGAUUAUUUUGUGACUGAGUUUCGACCGGUUGAGUAACUCGUUGGUCCCCUUCCUUUUACAGGGUUCUCACCUUUGGCAACUGCUUCUACUCCCGCAUAAGCGCACGGCAUCGCAUGCUGCAGUGUGAAAAACUCCGUUUUUAUAAGAUGUACCCGCGUUGGAUUAGCUAGUUGGUGAGGUAACGGCCCAACAAGGCGACGAUCCAUAGCCGACAUGAGAGGGUGAACGGCCACAGUGGGACUGAGACACGGCCCAAACUCCUACGGGAGGCAGAAGUGGGGAAUAUUGCACAAUGGGCGAAAGACUGAUGCAGCGACGCCGCGUGAGCGAAGAAGUAUUGCGGUAUGUAAAGCUCUAUCAGCAGGGAAGAUAAUGACGGUACCUGACUAAGAAGCACCGGCUAAAUACGUG